AUUGAACGCUGGCGGCAGGCUUAACACAUGCAAGUCGAGCGGAGAUGAGGUGCUUGCACCUUAUCUUAGCGGCGGACGGGUGAGUAAUGCUUAGGAAUCUGCCUAUUAGUGGGGGAUAACAUUCCGAAAGGAAUGCUAAUACCGCAUACGUCCUACGGGAGAAAGCAGGGGAUCUUCGGACCUUGCGCUAAUAGAUGAGCCUGAGUCGGAUUAGCUAGUUGGUGGGGUAAAGGCCUACCAAGGCGACGAUCUGUAGCGGGUCUGAGAGGAUGAUCCGCCACACUGGGACUGAGACACGGCCCAGACUCCUACGGGAGGCAGCAGUGGGGAAUAUUGGACAAUGGGGGGAACCCUGAUCCAGCCAUGCCGCGUGUGUGAAGAAGGCCUUAUGGUUGUAAAGCACUUUAAGCGAGGAGGAGGCUACUGAGACUAAUACUCUUGGAUAGUGGACGUUACUCGCAGAAUAAGCACCGGCUAACUCUGUGCCAGCCGCCGCGGUAAUAC
rnacentral:rRNA from 1 species